AUCUGGAAGUUCAAGCCCAAAGGC
rnacentral:siRNA from 1 species